UUAGCUGAGAGGUGGUGCAUGGCCGUCGUCAGUUCGUACUGUGAAGCAUCCUGUUAAGUCAGGCACGAGCGAGACCCACGUCCACAGUUGCCAGCAUACCCUCCGGGGUGAUGGGUACACUGUGGAGACCGCCGCUGCUAAAGCGGAGGAAGGAGUGGGCAACGGUAGGUCAGUAUGCCCCGAAUCUCCCGGGCUACACGCGGGCUACAAUGGUUGGUACAAUGGGCAUCUACCCCGAAAGGGGAAGGAAAUCUCUUAAAGCCAAUCGUAGUUCGGAUUGAGGGCUGCAACUCGCCCUCAUGAAGCUGGAAUCCGUAGUAAUCGCGUUUCAACAGAACGCGGUGAAUACGUCCCUGCUCCUU
rnacentral:rRNA from 1 species